rnacentral:rRNA from 1 species
GAUGAACGCUGGCGGCGUGCCUAAUACAUGCAAGUCGAGCGAACAGACGAGGAGCUUGCUCCUCUGACGUUAGCGGCGGACGGGUGAGUAACACGUGGAUAACCUACCUAUAAGACUGGGAUAACUUCGGGAAACCGGAGCUAAUACCGGAUAAUAUAUUGAACCGCAUGGUUCAAUAGUGAAAGACGGUUUUGCUGUCACUUAUAGAUGGAUCCGCGCCGCAUUAGCUAGUUGGUAAGGUAACGGCUUACCAAGGCAACGAUGCGUAGCCGACCUGAGAGGGUGAUCGGCCACACUGGAACUGAGACACCGUCCAGACUCCUACGGGAGGCAGCAGUAGGGAAUCUUCCGCAAUGGGCGAAAGCCUGACGGAGCAACGCCGCGUGAGUGAUGAAGGUCUUCGGAUCGUAAAACUCUGUUAUUAGGGAAGAACAAAUGUGUAAGUAACUAUGUACGUCUUGACGGUACCUAAUCAGAAAGCCACGGCUAACUACGUG